rnacentral:misc_RNA from 1 species
UCGCGUCGAACCACCGACCCCCGCUCCGGUGUCGAAAGGUGCCUUGAUAGCACGGCUCAUUAUUUGCUCAUGCUUUUUUUUUUGCGUGUCUGCGUGUACGCUUGCGUGUGCUCUAUUCUGUCGUGCCUGUGGCAGGGCCCCCUUGUGCAUGUUGUACGCGCGCCCAUCUGCCCUUUGUCCGUGUCGGGCUCCCUCUGCCUCUGCGCGUGUGUGUCAUAGAAUAGAAAAGGGGCGACUACGAAGAAAGGAUUGACGAAAGCUGAGUCACCGAAGCAAGGACGCGGACUCACAGUCGGCUGUGCGCACAUCCACCCACCACUUCCCACACAUACACGCGUGCUUCAGCAAGCAGCCCUCUUCCGCGCACCCACAUCAUCCUCUCCAGUCGCCCACUUUGCGAUCUCUCUCUCUCCCAUCAUUUACUUUUUAUAACUAUUUGUUCCUCUUCGUGCACGAUUACCCUCUCAUCCGCACCACUCUGUCGCAGCCACCGUGAUCGCCACAGGCACGCAUACCAAGAGACACGGAGAGCGAGAGCGAAGAGCGAGGGGCCUGUCUGCGGUGUUCAGCAGUUCGCGGAAAGCAAACACCACCUCAGCAGUAAAACAAGGUACAAAGUUAGUAGCCCAAGCCGCGGAAGGGUGACUUCAGCGCCGCACGCGUUGCAGGUCUUGCUUUUGGCCGGCAUCCCCCCCCCCCAAUAACCCAAGCGCUUCCCUGCGCGGCAGCCAUCGCCUCUCUCUGUGUGUAUUGAGUGUAUGCUGCUGUGUAACCUGUGUCGGAUCGUCGGUAGUUCCAGCCUUGUGUUUUUUUUUUGUUUACAUCUUGUACUUGCGUGCGGUGUUUAAGCGGCGUGUGUGUGUGUGUGUGUGUGUGGCCGUUGGCGAGAAAGCGGGGGGGGAACAGGCAUAGGCACGCUUACUCGCAGCACAGCAACAGGAGCCGUGUAGCGCUGGUUUAUCCGAUUACUUAUCGCAGUGUGUAUUUGGAGCACCUGCUGUGGCGAAUCGCUGCUGGUCUGCUGCUCAGUUGGCGAUAGUGGUGUAUAUCUCUGUGUGUGUGCGCUGUAGUGUGUCUCUCGUCUCCAUCGUUUCUUUAACCUUGUCCCCCUUCACGUCACAUCGCUCUUGGUGUGUUGUGCUUUCGUUCUCCGGUUCUUUGUGUUUCUUUUUUCCCCUUCUCUGUGCCUGCUGUUGGUCGUACGUGCGAGCAAGGUGAAGCGGUGGCCGGAACACAAGAAGGACGUCUGGCAUCAUCACCUCGGCGCGCGGUGUAUGUGCGUGUGUGUGUGUGACAGGUAACACGAAAAUAAAGUUUCCCUUCUCCUUGUGUGUGUGUGGGAGGGGGAGAGAGGUGGUACGAGUAGUGUUGGUGGCGGGUUUGUGCACGCGUGCGUGGUGGUGCGCACGGCUUGGCUAUCACCGUGACCUGUUGAACUGUGCGUGGGCCUCAUCGUCUUUCCUUCUCAGUUGACCUCUUGUCUUUUUUUUUUUUAAAUCGCCCUCCCUUCUUUUCGGCUCCCUCCCUCCUACACGUUGCGGCUGCUCCUGGCAUACAUUAGUGGCCACACAGCAGUAAAGGCGUGUUUGCGUCUGUGUUUCGUUGGAUAUAUGGUUGCCGUUCCUUUUUGUUAUUGUUUCCUCCCCGCCCGUCCCUCCGCCCCCCCCUCCUCGCCACCUGCCCCUUUUCCAUACACUUGCAUACACAGCAGCAGCAACGUGCGCACUUGUGCACACAUCUUUCCGCAACUCCUUUGCAUCUAUAUCUAGAUAGUCUCCUUCUCUUCUGUUCGUGCAGGGCCGGAAGAAAAACGCCCGAUUUUUCGCGUCAUGUUCAACACGGAUGCUGCGGACGCAUUUUACCUGCGCCUUAGCAAUGCCUCCUGCCUUGACGUCUCUAAAGAGAGAUGCAGCCCUACCUCCUCUCGUCAAGGCUUCCUGCGGCACCGCGGUGAUAGCCUCAGUGGGCCUGGUGACUCCUACGCUUAUGCGAUCAAUGACGCGGAGCACCACACCUCGCACAGCAGCAAGAUGCUAGCGUGGCCGUCUCAGUCUCAGAGCGGCUCUUCGCGUGCCUAUACGCGUCUCGAAGGAGUCAUAGAGCCUGGAACGCCGCACAACCCCGUCAACUCUUACCCUUGCCCCUCGACGACAACAGCAAACCCAUCGUCCGCCACGGCAACAGGUGGCGCGCUGCACUUACCGGCCGCGCACCGUCGCGUAGGUGCGCCGCUGCCCGUGGCCGGCAGCGGUGUGUGGGAGCGUGCAGACUAUCUUCCCCGUUCAUGCCGUGCGUCGUCAGCCGCGGCGCCGCCAGCAUCAGUAGUUCACUCCAGCGACGCCUCCAGAGCUACCGCGAUCACGUCCACCCGCUUUGCCGGUGGCGGCGCAGGCGCCAACUUACUUCCCCAGCGCGUGCGUAUCCUCAACCGCAACGGCGUGAAUGGCGCUCGCUUGUACGGGUCGAUGGGGAUGACGACGCUUUCUGUCGCGCGGGGUGUCCGAGCAGCUUCGGGCACGGGAUCGACUCAGCGACCCUCUAGCGCCCCUUCGACGGUGUCGGCUGCGGCAAGCGGCCGGCGCGACGGUGUUUCUUCAGCUGCGUGUACGACGAACACCUACGGCAGUAGGGGUGAUGAGUUUGGAAGGCUUCUGGCCGCCUCUGCGUCACAAUCUCCGCUCGCCUCCGCUUCCCGCUCGCAGAGGGCGACGGAGCAUGAGCUACGCACAUCAGCCCCUGUCGCCCCUUCAAUCCAUGGGCUAGCUCGCUACUCGUCAGAAGACGCGGCGGUUGCCCGACGUAGCGCAGCCGCCAGCAACGGCAGCGGCGCGACGUCAUUGACAGCGGGGCAACGGGUGCGGCCGUACUUGCCGCCGUCCUCAUCAGCAAUCUACAAGCGCACCGCGACGGCGGCACUGGUGCAGGACGAUGGGGAUUAUACCGCAGUUUCCGCCAUGCCGGCACACUCCACGCGGUGGUCCGCAGACCCGCCAUCGUCACCGGCGUCUGUGCGUUCAGCCCCCACAGACGCAAGCUCACUAUUAGGCAAAGGCGAGUCAGCUCUCAGCGCCAGGUCUCCAAAGAGAGCGCACUCGUACAAGGUCUCGUCGACAGUCGCUGAGCAGGCUCCACGCAGCAGCGAGGUGGACGUUGCAGAGCACGACAUCGACGAAGGCGCAUCGACGUGGUGGACGGUCGACAUCGUCAUCAACUCUGCUCCGUGCCACGGCAGCUCCGCGUACGAGGAGGCCGCAGCAAUGAAGGCGGCAGCGCUGUUGCGGUCACCAGCCGACAUGCGCACGCUCCGGUCGGUUCAGUGCCGGGCACCGGUGCUACCGGCCGAUGCGUCAGCAGACGAGGCAUGGACCAUGACUCAGUCUCUUCUGCGCCGCGUCGCCCUUGCAUCCGUCGGCGCCUCCUCGCCGCCGUGUGUACCGCAGGGCUACUUCUGUUUCAACACAGAUUUUAACGAAUACGUGCAGCUUUCCGCGGACACGCUGCCGCUGGCCAGUACGCUGUUCAGCGUCGUGAUGGUAGCAUCAUCAGUCGACACUGCCAUCGCGGAGGAGGGUCGCGCAGGCUACGCAGAGAUGCCGGAUGCAACGACGGAUGAAGCAAAGACGGCCUUUGUGUCGACACCAUACCCCGCUACUCUCGAUCACUACCUGCUCACGGGCGCAGCGCCAUCAUGUAACCACGAUGGCGCAGCGCCACAACACCACUGGAGUGACGCCGCCGAGCGUGGCGCGGCUGCGGCCACCCCGCGUCCCCCUAAAGGCCGUCGUAGCUCGGUGCUUCGCCAUGCACUGCGCCCCUCGUUGCAGCCACAUAGCUGGGAGGGCUCAACGCCGUCGCCGCUCCCGCCGAAGCCGCCUGCUGCCGCGGGCACUGCAAGCCGACACCGACCUGCAUUCGACGGGAGCGCCAGCAGCCACCAACAUCUCACCCCAGUGGAGGAAGUGUCCCCAUACCCACAACUCCCUCGUAGGUCCUACGAGUCGGCGGUGAUGUCGCCAGGUGCGCGGGGCAACGACGACUCCGCCGGCGUGAUUCUUACGUACGACGGCGAUGCAGGCGAGGACGACAGCUACCCAAGGAUCUCGUACAGUGUGGAGAGCGAUGCUGCUGAUGCUGUCUACGGUGCCGCGUCUCCUCCUGCGCCGCCGACGUUGUGCAAAGGUCGUGCGCACGACUACUACGUGGAUGGCGAUUGCGCCGCGAGGGAGGAGAUGGACGUUACUGCUGGUAGCCGAUACGGUAAUGACGCCGUGGGCUACAUCGAUGACGACGACGAAGCUGCCCCACAAGCGGAGGCAGAGGAGGUCUUUGGCGCGAAUGUAGUGUGCACUACCAAGGCGGCGGAGCAUCAGCUUCGCGCGAGCUGCGACAGCAGCAGCAGCAGCAACCCUGAGCGCACCAGCCGCCUUCGGUGCUUUCAUAACGCGCCACCAUCAUCGAAACCGUUGACGCAACCGCUUUCAAGCCCCUCAGCUACGCACGGCGUACCCGCCCGGCCGGGAAGCGAUAGCAAUGCCUCGCCACAGCGUCCUCCAACGGCCCCGACCCAAGGCUACAGCCGCGUAGGGGUUUUUGCGGCAAUGCAAAGGCCCUCUCCAUCGACCCUGCCCGCUACCCCUCUACAGCCGACGCCGCAACAACUGUUCUUUGACGAUCCAGUCCUGCAGCGCCACUUCGAGAAUGCGUGCAAGCAGUCACCACCAUCUCCACAGCACGCUGCAGGGAGCGCAGAGGGUGGCGGUGGCGGCUGCUACCCUAUCUAUGUGCCGUCCCCGCCGCGCACGGUUCCAGUGCCACCAUCGCCACCGCUGCCGCCAGCACCGCCGGCGCACGGCGCCUACAGGCCUGGGGCGCAUCCAUACUUUGACCCCUCCCCGUCGACGGCAUCGUCCGCGACUGGGUUUGCGCCGACGCCGCCAUUCAGCGUAUAUGGCACGGAGGCGUUGACAGCGAUCAUGAAUCGAGCGCAGCGUGACCCCCUGAAUGUUUUGCUGCAGAGGUCCGCCCAGCCACGGCAGCAGGCACCCGGCUCUCAGGUGCCUUUCCGGCCACCACCAGCACCAGCCUCUAGCGGUGAUGUCGCUGUCUCCGCCGCCCCUCUACGAGCGGUGACGUCAACGAGGCCUCAGGCACCCCGCGCAGCAGUAGACUCCGCGGUGGACUCUGCUGCCGCCGCUACGGGUGGAAUUGCCUCCACUGCUCACCGGCUCAUCGCGCCCUCGCUCAGCUCGCUCUCUCGUCCUCUGCCGCUCCCUGUGACGGGCGCCGUCGUCCCUCAGGCUGUCGUAGCACCGCCACCAACGCCAGCGGGGUACUGCACAGAGACACCAAUGCGCCACGACCGCUCUCCCUCUCCGCAAAAAGAGGAGCGUUCUGCAACGACGGCCGUCGAGGUGGAUGUGCCGCGUGAAGUAGAGGCGGAUGCCUCGGUCAGCGCCCACGCUGCGGCCGCUGCGAUCGCGGAGCUCCCCAAGUCGUGCGCGGACGCAGUGAAGGCGCCUUCGCAAGACGAUCAGCACAACAGGGAGGAGGCUCAGCGCAAUCAUAGUACACGCAAUGCACCAACUCUGGUGGGCGUUGAGAAAGACAAGGCGGCUGUCGGCACGAACGCGGACGCGGAUCAUGACGCAGAGGGGCCCACUACUGUCACGACGGCCGCGGCAGCCGUCGAUGAGAGUAGAAAGAGCAGGGACGGUGGUGGUGACGCUCGUGGGUACUUGGCCGACGCAGCGACAACGCCGAUGCCUACAGCUGGCAGUUCUGCUCCAGCUCCUGCUGCCGAUGAAAGUGAUGCGGUCGCUGCCGCUGUGGAGGUGCCCAAGGCGCCCACGCGGACGUCUCCGACAGACACCGACGUGGAGCUGCCGGCCUCCGCUGUCGGUGCCGAGGGGUUUGACACUCUGCCUGCCAGCGAAUCAGCUGCCGCCAAGGAAAAGAACAAGGAUGACUGCGACCACUCCCAGAACCACGCUACCGCCCCCGAUGCGUACCCAAUGGAGGCCGGCGACCUUGACACCAUUCCCACUGUCAUCGCCGUGGCUGCUCGUCAAGCUGCGGACAAGGUGGCCGACGAUUCGCCUGAGCAGGCGGCGCUGUCGCCGGAGGCGCCGCACACGGCCACCACGGCUCGACCAGCUGAGUAUCCCAUGGAAGCGCCACGAGCCCAGGGCGACGGUGACAUAGCGGGCGGGGCCAAGGUGCCCGGUGAGAGUACCCGCCUUUGCGAGAGCGCCGCCGAGGUCGUGGGCAUUGCCGCGCCUGACAGCACAAGUGGCCUAGGUGCCCACAUUGCGGCAGAAGAGGCUGUAGGGAAGACCCCGGCCAGUGAUUCAGCCGGCGAGCCGGUGGACGCCGGACAGUCCAACAGACAGCAGGAGGAAGCAGGCUGCACGCCAGAAGACGACACCCCUGAUACCAAUGUCUGCGGGGCACAGUUGGAGGCCAGUACCUGCGCCGAUGAUGUCCCUCUAUUACUCUCAGAGAAGCAGCCUUCCUCGGUAGCAGACGGCAUAGCAAUGAACGCCGAGGGCAAGCGCGAGGAGGGCGAAGAGGUGGACUUGGCCUGCCUGGCGGAGCCGGCGCUCCAGGCGUCAUCAGAGGUGUAUGGUGACGAACACCACGCUGUCGUAGGUGAUGGCAGCAAGGCUGCGUCGCCGCUACAACCUGAUCACAGCGCGGAGUUGAGUACUACCACUGAUAAUGAAGGAAACAAGGCAUCCAGCGAGGCAGGAACUUCAGCUACGCAGCGGCUAAAAAGAACGAGUGAUGCGUCAGGCUCACCGCAAGCCCUCGACUCCGACAGCGAUGACGAGUUGGCCAACGGUGUCGCGGUGGACAUGCUAUCGAGCGAGAGCGCGGCAGCGGAGAAGAACCCAUUCGGUGCGGCGACAGAAGCAAAAACCCUAGCAACGCAGCCAGAUGUAGCAGCGGCCGCUGCACCCGUCAUCCCAGUCGGCGAUUCGACUGCGUUUUUGAUGAUUGCUGCGGCGAAGUUGCUGCCCGCGCCUGUGAUUUCGGUGGCGACCCAGCGGGAGAAAGAUGAAGACCCGGAUGCGCCGCCGCAGGUGCUACAUCACCGCGCCGCCGCCGCAGCGGCGGCGGCGGUGGCGGCCAACGCCUUCUACGGCUUAUGGGAAGAGUCGAUGACGGAGGAUGGCACAGGUGACGGCGACGACGCCGGUGGCGCCGACCACGGCGACACAACCGCCGUGGGCGGGGAUGAAGAGGAAGGAGAUCAACAGGAUCGCAGUGCCACAUCCGAGGCUGUCACAACCGCCACGAUUACGACGAGUGAGGACGACAUUGAGGGGGCAGUGGAUGUACCCAUGGACGUCUUCCGCGACUCCCUCUCCCUCACAAACACGCCAACGCUGAUCCGCCGCGGCGAGGGGCGGGAUGAAAACACGUCGAUCGCCGCGACGGCGAGCUUGGCAGACGCGAUCGACAUGCUCACCCACACCAUCGGCUCCGACAUGUGCCUGCCGCCGGCGUCGCGUGCUGUGACACUUGCUGCUGAUCCUGACGCGGGCGUAGGCUCUACGGACGUACUCUUCCAUCUCCAUUACAAAGAGUUCUCAUCUGCAGUCGCCAUCAAGGCUACAGGAGGCGCAGCUGCGGCCGUUGGCGAUAUCGGCGUCGCCGCCGAGACAUCUGUCCAUAAUGCCGGAAACGAGGCGUCCGCGUUUUCUGCAGAAGUGGCACAGCGCCUCCAAGCUUCCUCGCGCGCAGCACAUUUCUUGUCGCCCGCGCCUGCAUCCUCACCACCAUCGGCGGCGUCACAGCCGGUCGCAUCGCCGAACGGGCCUACGGCGCAAACCACCGUGGACGCCAAUGCUGAUGGCGAUCGCUUCUCGAGCGGUUUGCGAGAGGCAGAGGCGUCGCCCGACGCCGUCAACGACGAGCCACGUGUGGAGCCACACAGUAGCGCCGCGACCCACGUGGACGGCCCCGUACUUCCGCUCUGUGAGGUGUCUGGUGACGGCGCAGCCGCCCUCAAGAUACCGAUGACCACAGCGGCUUUAGAGGUCGGCACGGCCGACGCCCCGCAGCCAUCGCCGUCGCUGCUGCGCCCCUUUGCGCCAACGUCGCAGACACCGAAGCCCGCAGCGCCGCUGUCACUCUCGCCGGCACAGGUACUAUCACUGCCCACGCCGUCGUUGCCACUGUCCCCGCCGCUCAGCGAAGGCGCCAUGAAGAAGACGAUGGUGCUGCUGGGCUUUCCCGGAUCGGCGUGGGAGUUCAUCAUGACCCACCACUACGAGGGUAUGCAUGACGCCUUCACGAAGGACUCUGCCGUGGCCGCCAACGUCCCCAUCUCCGCGAUUCAGGACGUGCGCUAUAGCAAGGGGAGCCUCAUGGUCGACCUGUAUGUGCUGCACCCGGCGAGUUCCAGUGGGGAUUUCAUUCGGGAUCGGAUGUCUAGCUACGCAUAUCCGACCCUCUGGGCCUUUUACGAGGUGAAGAAGCGCGAGAGGAAGCAGUUCCUGCACGGCCCCGGGAUGAGCGUAACGGGUGCAAUGCCGGCGCAGUCUCUGCCGCCGCUUUUAACGCCUACGCUUUCAUCACAGGAGGAGGUGAGCUGGACAGCCUCGUAGUCUGUGUGUGUGUGUGCCCAAAUGUGCGCGCAUGUGCUUGGCCGACGCGCUCUCGUGAUCUGUUCGGUAGAAUCUCUGUCGGAGAGGAGGCCACUUCUCACCCCGCGCCCUUUUCAUCUCUCGCUUGGUCGGAGCUGCCUCCUUUCUCUGCCUCUUUUGUCUGCGUUUCUCUUUGAUGGGUCUUUUUGUUUCCUCCUCGAUCUGCUUUCCCUCAGUGUCUGGGGCUUGCGUAUGCCGGCUUGAUGGCUCUUUCCAGAUAUACAUGUAUGUAUAUAUGUAUGUAUAUAUAUAUAUAUAUAUACAUAUUUUUUUUUACCCAUGUCGGUCUUCUCUGACACAUCCCCAUGUGGCGGCCGCCAUCCGACUCGACUACUCGGCACAGCCUUCUUGCCCCUCCUCCCAAGAAUCAUCAUCUCGCACUUUUUUGAGCUAUGGAAACGCCGUUCUCGUUCCUCCUCCACUCCCUCCCUUUUUCCCUUUUUGUCGUCUCUCGCCUCCUCCCUCGUGGCGGGCGCGGUCUUUUCCAG